AAACUUAAAGGAAGUUGACGGGGAGCACUACAACGGGUGGAGCCUGUCGGUUUAAUUGGAUUCAACGCCGGAAAUCGUCACCGGGGGCGACAGCAAUAUGAAGGUCAGGCUGAAGACCUUUACCCGAUUAGCUGAGAGGUGGUGCAUGGCCGUCGUCAGUUCGUACUGUGAAGCAUCCUGUUAAGUCAGGCAACGAGCGAGACCCACGUCCACAGUUGCCAGCAUACCCUCCGGGGUGAUGGGUACACUGUGGAGACCGCCGCUGCUAAAGCGGAGGAAGGAGUGGGCAACGGUAGGUCAGUAUGCCCCGAAUCUCCCGGGCUACACGCGGGCUACAAUGGUUGGUACAAUGGGCAUCUACCCCGAAAGGGGAAGGAAAUCUCUUAAAGCCAAUCGUAGUUCGGAUUGAGGGCUGCAACUCGCCCUCAUGAAGCUGGAAUCCGUAGUAAUCGCGUUUCAACAGAACGCGGUGAAUACGUCCCUGCUCCUU
rnacentral:rRNA from 1 species